UAGGGAAUCUUCGGCAAUGGACGAAAGUCUGACCGAGCAACGCCGCGUGAGUGAAGAAGGUUUUCGGAUCGUAAAACUCUGUUGUUAGAGAAGAACAAGGACGUUAGUAACUGAACGUCCCCUGACGGUAUCUAACCAGAAAGCCACGGCUAACUACGUGCCAGCAGCCGCGGUACUACGUAGGUGGCAAGCGUUGUCCGGAUUUAUUGGGCGUAAAGCGAGCGCAGGCGGUUUCUUAAGUCUGAUGUGAAAGCCCCCGGCUCAAGCGGGGAGGGUCAUUGGAAACUGGGAGACUUGAGUGCAGAAGAGGGGAGUGGAAUUCCAUGUGUAGCGGUGAAAUGCGUAGAUAUAUGGAGGAACACCAGUGGCGAAGGCGGCUCUCUGGUCUGUAACUGACGCUGAGGCUCGAAAGCGUGGGGAGCAAACAGG
rnacentral:rRNA from 1 species